GCGGUGGAGCAUGUGGUUAAUUCGACGCAACGCGAAGAACCUUACCAGGGCUUGACAUCCCCUGACCGCGUAUGAAAGUACGAAUUCACCUCGGGUGACAGGGAGACAGGUGGUGCAUGGUUGUCGUCAGCUCGUGUCGUGAGAUGUUGGGUUAAGUCCCGCAACGAGCGCAACCCCUACGUUUAGUUGCUAACGCGUGAAGGCGAGCACUCUAGACGAACUGCCGUUGACAAAACGGAGGAAGGUGGGAUGACGUCAAAUCAUCAUGCCCCUUAUGUUCUGGGCUACACACGUGCUACAAUGGCCGGUACAGACGGACGCAAAGCCGCGAGGUGGAGCAAAUCCUAAAAAGCCGGUCUCAGUUCGGAUUGCAGGCUGCAAUUCGCCUGCAUGAAGUCGGAAUCGCUAGUAAUCGCAGGUCAGCAUACUGCGGUGAAUACGUUCCCGGGCCUU
rnacentral:rRNA from 1 species